GGCCCGUUAGCUCAGUUGGUUAGAGCGUCGUUAAUAACGCGAAGGUCGCGGGUUCGAUCCCCUCACGGGCCA
rnacentral:tRNA from 1 species